UAUGUGAUCUCUCUCGCAUAUCAAUAAGCGGAGGAAAAGAAACUAACAAGGAUUCCCCUAGUAACGGCGAGUGAAGCGGGAAGAGCUCAAAUUUGAAAUCUUAAAGGGUUUCCCUUUACGAAUUGUAGUUUAAAGAAGUGUUUUCUGUUGAGGUUUUGGUAAAAGUUCUUUGGAAUAGGACAUCAUAGAGGGUGAGAAUCCCGUAUUUGACCUUUACUUUCAACUUUGUGAUACACUUUCAAAGAGUCGGAUUGUUUGGGAAUGCAGUCCAAAAUGGGUGGUAAAUUUCAUCUAAAGCUAAAUAUUGGCGAGAGACCGAUAGCGAACAAGUACCGUGAGGGAAAGAUGAAAAGAACUUUGAAAAGAGAGUUAAACAGUACGUGAAAUUGUCAAAAGGGAAGCGUUUGACACCAGUGUUGUUUUUCUGAAAAUCAAUUAAAGAACUGUUUAUGCUAAGUUGUUUAGACUUUAUCAGCUAUCUGCUUAGUUUUGAGCUUUUCUUUAAUGCACUUUUCAGUUAACAAGUCAACAUCAAUUUCUUUUGCUGUAAAAAAGCUUGAGGAAGGUGGCUUGAGAUUCGUCUUAAGUGUUUAUAGCCUCUUGCCUAUGCAGUCGGAGAGAUUGAGGUCUGCAGCGUAGAUCCUUCGGGGCUAAAUGCAUUUGUGCUAAGUUAUAGCAUUUUAUAGACAACUUGUUGACUAUGAUUUGUCUUGUAGCUUACUCGCUUAUGUUAUUUUACCUACGCUUAGGAUGUUGAGUAGCGACAUACGCAC
rnacentral:rRNA from 1 species